rnacentral:lncRNA from 1 species
AAGAGACCAUUCUGUACUUCACUUUUAUAAAAGUACAAAAGAAAAUUUAUACAUACUGUAGGAUGAUAUUUUUAGAGUGUCAAUAACAACUCGUAUAAAAAACACAUAAUAUUUAACAUUGCACGGGGAAAGAGGGAAGAUCAAGAUCUUGAUUCAUACAAUUAAUCCAACAAAAUUAGCUGUACAUAUUAUUAACACUAGAAAACAAAAGGACUAGUAAUACAGAUCGAUGACCACAUCACCGCAUCUGCAUGGAUCGUCUAAUUAAACACUAAUUAACAAAGGUUAAUUGGGAGUUGAAUUUCCAGAUAUUUAUUAGUAGGUAAUUAGGAAUAGUACUUAAGACUCAUCGUCUCUCAUGUAUUAGGACCCCAACAACUCAAGUACAUUACAGUCCGGAGAGAUUCCUCAGCCUGCUGUUUAAGCCUGCACUGAUGAUCACAGCUGCUGGUACUAUUCUUGUUGUUUACAGCACCAGAAAAUUCUGUGGCCAAUUCCUUGCGACAUGCCUUGCCUUUAGACGCUUGGUCUCUAUUAGUGCUUCCUCUUCCUUGCAUUGCUUCUGAUAUUUGAAUCAUUUCAAAUGAAAGUAGUGUUUUAGUCGUUUGGGUGUGGCUUAGAACUUGGGAAACCAAGUUUCAUAUAUAGGCAGAGAAAAGGUCAUUAGCAUAUAAUAGCUGCAAAAUUU